AGCAACUUGCCCAAUCAUUGCCCUGCAGCCACUUGGCACAAUCUUCUUCGCACCAGAAGGAAGCUUGAUCCUGUUAAGAACAUGUAAACAGCCAUAAUCAGUUAGUCCCUCACCAAAUAAAUAUAAAACAACGUAGCAAGCAAAUUACAAAUACCAUCUUUGGACAAACACAAUCAACAUAAAACCUUACAAUCAUCAAUGUUAUACCAUUUCAAGUAAAAGACGUUGUGAAAGAAAACAGAGAAGUUAAUGACAAGCUAAAAAGUACAUUCAGUAACAGAUGUCAAAACACGAAUGAUCACAUUGGACAAUCUUCUUAUUUCUUAUUGACAAGCACUUUCUCCCCCUCUAAUUUUCCUUAUUUCAACAAUCUUCUGAACAAUAAGAUAAAUCAAUCAUAAUCUCUAUCAGAAAAAGCACAUUGAUUCAUUGAUUCAUCUAAAAUGAAACGUUGAGACCCAAUCCAUCUAAAAUUCAAAAUCCGAUCUUACUACUACAUUGAUUCAUAUCCACACCACUAUGACUAGCCACCACAAGCAAAAUUCAAAAUGCCACCCAAAUCAAUAAAAUCCAAGAAACAAAACAGCAGCUACUGUCCCUUAAUCUCGGACUGAGUCUGAAUAUACCCAAGUGGGAUUUCCAAAAAAAAUGUCAUCUUUCAUGCUUCAUUAUUGAAAAACAAGCUAUAUUUCAUCAAAGUAGAUAUAAUUACACUUCCGCAAUACCAAAGAAAUUUAUCAAAAGAAAACAAAAUGAUUGAAUAGAGAGAUACCUGGAGGUAUCGUUAUCAGGGUUGUGGCUGAUAACAACAGCGUAGUCACCAGAAGCCCUAGCAAGGGUUCCACGGUCACCAACAUGGUGCUCGACGUUGCAGACUACAGCUCCUUCUGGGAUCGAUCUGAGAGGCAAAACAUUUCCGACG
rnacentral:lncRNA from 1 species